UUAAGUUAUUAAGGGCGCACGGUGGAUGCCUUGGCACUAGAAGCCGAUGAAGGACGUUACUAACGACGAUAUGCUUUGGGGAGCUGUAAGUAAGCUUUGAUCCAGAGAUUUCCGAAUGGGGAAACCCAGCAUGAGUUAUGUCAUGUUAUCGAUAUGUGAAUACAUAGCAUAUCAGAAGGCACACCCGGAGAACUGAAACAUCUUAGUACCCGGAGGAAGAGAAAGAAAAUUCGAUUCCCUUAGUAGCGGCGAGCGAAACGGGAAGAGCCCAAACCAAAAAGCUUGCUUGUUGGGGUUGUAGGACACUCUAUACGGAGUUACAAAGGACGACAUUAGACGAAUCAUCUGGAAAGAUGAAUCAAAGAAGGUAAUAAUCCUGUAGUCGAAAAUGUUGUCUCUCUUGAGUGGAUCCUGAGUACGACGGAGCACGUGAAAUUCCGUCGGAAUCUGGGAGGACCAUCUCCUAAGGCUAAAUACUCUCUAGUGACCGAUAGUGAACCAGUACCGUGAGGGAAAGGUGAAAAGCACCCCGGAAGGAGAGUGAAAUAGAACCUGAAACCGUGUGCUUACAAGUAGUCAGAGCCCGUUAAUGGGUGAUGGCGUGCCUUUUGUAGAAUGAACCGGCGAGUUACGAUUUGAUGCAAGGUUAAGCAGUAAAUGUGGAGCCGUAGCGAAAGCGAGUCUGAAUAGGGCGUUUAGUAUUUGGUCGUAGACCCGAAACCAGGUGAUCUACCCUUGGUCAGGUUGAAGUUCAGGUAACACUGAAUGGAGGACCGAACCGACUUACGUUGAAAAGUGAGCGGAUGAACUGAGGGUAGCGGAGAAAUUCCAAUCGAACCUGGAGAUAGCUGGUUCUCUCCGAAAUAGCUUUAGGGCUAGCCUCAAGUGAUGAUUAUUGGAGGUAGAGCACUGUUUGGACGAGGGGCCCCUCUCGGGUUACCGAAUUCAGACAAACUCCGAAUGCCAAUUAAUUUAACUUGGGAGUCAGAACAUGGGUGAUAAGGUCCGUGUUCGAAAGGGAAACAGCCCAGACCACCAGCUAAGGUCCCAAAAUAUAUGUUAAGUGGAAAAGGAUGUGGCGUUGCCCAGACAACUAGGAUGUUGGCUUAGAAGCAGCCAUCAUUUAAAGAGUGCGUAAUAGCUCACUAGUCGAGUGACACUGCGCCGAAAAUGUACCGGGGCUAAACAUAUUACCGAAGCUGUGGAUUGUCCUUUGGACAAUGGUAGGAGAGCGUUCUAAGGGCGUUGAAGCAUGAUCGUAAGGACAUGUGGAGCGCUUAGAAGUGAGAAUGCCGGUGUGAGUAGCGAAAGACGGGUGAGAAUCCCGUCCACCGAUUGACUAAGGUUUCCAGAGGAAGGCUCGUCCGCUCUGGGUUAGUCGGGUCCUAAGCUGAGGCCGACAGGCGUAGGCGAUGGAUAACAGGUUGAUAUUCCUGUACCACCUAUAAUCGUUUUAAUCGAUGGGGGGACGCAGUAGGAUAGGCGAAGCGUGCGAUUGGAUUGCACGUCUAAGCAGUAAGGCUGAGUAUUAGGCAAAUCCGGUACUCGUUAAGGCUGAGCUGUGAUGGGGAGAAGACAUUGUGUCUUCGAGUCGUUGAUUUCACACUGCCGAGAAAAGCCUCUAGAUAGAAAAUAGGUGCCCGUACCGCAAACCGACACAGGUAGUCAAGAUGAGAAUUCUAAGGUGAGCGAGCGAACUCUCGUUAAGGAACUCGGCAAAAUGACCCCGUAACUUCGGGAGAAGGGGUGCUCUUUAGGGUUAACGCCCAGAAGAGCCGCAGUGAAUAGGCCCAAGCGACUGUUUAUCAAAAACACAGGUCUCUGCUAAACCGUAAGGUGAUGUAUAGGGGCUGACGCCUGCCCGGUGCUGGAAGGUUAAGAGGAGUGGUUAGCUUCUGCGAAGCUACGAAUCGAAGCCCCAGUAAACGGCGGCCGUAACUAUAACGGUCCUAAGGUAGCGAAAUUCCUUGUCGGGUAAGUUCCGACCCGCACGAAAGGCGUAACGAUUUGGGCACUGUCUCAACGAGAGACUCGGUGAAAUCAUAGUACCUGUGAAGAUGCAGGUUACCCGCGACAGGACGGAAAGACCCCGUGGAGCUUUACUGUAGCCUGAUAUUGAAAUUCGGCACAGCUUGUACAGGAUAGGUAGGAGCCUUUGAAACGUGAGCGCUAGCUUACGUGGAGGCGCUGGUGGGAUACUACCCUAGCUGUGUUGGCUUUCUAACCCGCACCACUUAUCGUGGUGGGAGACAGUGUCAAGCGGGCAGUUUGACUGGGGCGGUCGCCUCCUAAAAGGUAACGGAGGCGCUCAAAGGUUCCCUCAGAAUGGUUGGAAAUCAUUCAUAGAGUGUAAAGGCAUAAGGGAGCUUGACUGCGAGACCUACAAGUCGAGCAGGGUCGAAAGACGGACUUAGUGAUCCGGUGGUUCCGCAUGGAAGGGCCAUCGCUCAACGGAUAAAAGCUACCCCGGGGAUAACAGGCUUAUCUCCCCCAAGAGUUCACAUCGACGGGGAGGUUUGGCACCUCGAUGUCGGCUCAUCGCAUCCUGGGGCUGUAGUCGGUCCCAAGGGUUGGGCUGUUCGCCCAUUAAAGCGGUACGCGAGCUGGGUUCAGAACGUCGUGAGACAGUUCGGUCCCUAUCCGUCGUGGGCGUAGGAAAUUUGAGAGGAGCUGUCCUUAGUACGAGAGGACCGGGAUGGACAUACCUCUGGUGUACCAGUUGUCGUGCCAACGGCAUAGCUGGGUAGCUAUGUGUGGACGGGAUAAGUGCUGAAAGCAUCUAAGCAUGAAGCCCCCCUCAAGAUGAGAUUUCCCAACUUCGGUUAUAAGAUCCCUCAAAGAUGAUGAGGUUAAUAGGUUCGAGGUGGAAGCAUGGUGACAUGUGGAGCUGACGAAUACUAAUCGAUCGAAGACUUAAUCAA
rnacentral:rRNA from 11 species